ACUCCUACGGGAGGCAGCAGUAGGGAAUCUUCCACAAUGGGCGCAAGCCUGAUGGAGCAACACCGCGUGAGUGAAGAAGGGUUUCGGCUCGUAAAGCUCUGUUGUUAAAGAAGAACACGUAUGAGAGUAACUGUUCAUACGUUGACGGUAUUUAACCAGAAAGUCACGGCUAACUACGUGCCAGCAGCCGCGGUAAUACGUAGGUGGCAAGCGUUAUCCGGAUUUAUUGGGCGUAAAGAGAGUGCAGGCGGUUUUCUAAGUCUGAUGUGAAAGCCUUCGGCUUAACCGGAGAAGUGCAUCGGAAACUGGAUAACUUGAGUGCAGAAGAGGGUAGUGGAACUCCAUGUGUAGCGGUGGAAUGCGUAGAUAUAUGGAAGAACACCAGUGGCGAAGGUGGCUACCUGGUCUGCAACUGACGCUGAGACUCGAAAGCAUGGGUAGCGAACAGGAUUAGAUACCCUGGUAGGAUAGCG
rnacentral:rRNA from 1 species